GACAGAGGAUGCAAGCGUUGUUCGGAAUUACUGGGCGUAAAGGGCGCGUAGGCUGUUUUGUAAGUCGUUGAUGAAAUAACGAAACUCAAUUUCGUUGCUGUUUUCGAUACUGCAAAACUAGAGAUAGGGAGAGGUAAAUGGAAUUCCUAGUGGAAGAGUAAAAUCUGUUGAUAUUAGGAGGAACACCAGAGGCGAAGGCGAUUUACUGGAACUUUUCUGACGCUGAGGCGCGAAAGCGUGGGGAGCAAACAGG
rnacentral:rRNA from 1 species